rnacentral:rRNA from 1 species
AUUGAACGCUGGCGGCAUGCCUUACACAUGCAAGUCGAACGGUAACAGGUCUUCGGAUGCUGACGAGUGGCGAACGGGUGAGUAAUACAUCGGAACGUGCCCAGACGUGGGGGAUAACGAGGCGAAAGCUUUGCUAAUACCGCAUACGAUCUAAGGAUGAAAGCAGGGGACCGCAAGGCCUUGCGCGUUUGGAGCGGCCGAUGGCAGAUUAGGUAGUUGGUGGGAGAAAAGCUUACCAAGCCGACGAUCUGUAGCUGGUCUGAGAGGACGACCAGCCGCACGGGGACGGAGACACGGCCCAGACUCCUACGGGAGGCAGCAGGGGGGAAUUUUGGACAAGGGGCGAAAGCCUGGUCCAGCAAUGCCGCGUGCAGGAUGAAGGCCUUCGGGUUGUAAACUGCUUUUGUACGGAACGAAAAGGCUCUGGCUAAUACCUGGGGCACAUGACGGUACCGUAAGAAUAAGCACCGGCUAACUACGUGCCAGCAGCCGCCGUAACAC